rnacentral:rRNA from 1 species
AUUGAACGCUGGCGGCAUGCCUUACACAUGCAAGUCGAACGGCAGCACGGGUGCUUGCCCCUGGUGGCGAGUGGCGAACGGGUGAGUAAUACAUCGGAACAUGUCCUGUAGUGGGGGAUAGCCCGGCGAAAGCCGGAUUAAUACCGCAUACGAUCUACGGAUGAAAGCGGGGGCCCUUCGGGCCUCGCGCUAUAGGGUUGGCCGAUGGCUGAUUAGCUAGUUGGUGGGGUAAAGGCCUACCAAGGCGACGAUCAGUAGCUGGUCUGAGAGGACGACCAGCCACACUGGGACUGAGACACGGCCCAGACUCCUACGGGAGGCAGCAGUGGGGAAUUUUGGACAAUGGGCGAAAGCCUGAUCCAGCAAUGCCGCGUGUGAAGAAGGCCUUCGGGUUGUAAAGCACUUUUGUCCGGAAAGAAAUCCUUGGCCCUAAUACGGUCGGGGGAUGACGGUACCGGAAGAAUAAGCACCGGCUAACUACGUG